UUCAGGCAAGCUAAGGGGACAGCAUGUCCUUUCCCCUCCCAGCUGGAAAAGCCUCGGGUGAUUAUCACCCAGUACUCUGUGUCAAACGGCUCUUGUUUUGGGCUCUUCUUUUGUUAAAGCAAAUUGUGAGGAAAGGAGAUUUAAAGUGACUGCUUGGGGGGUUAUUUUUACCUUUGCACAGGCUGGUUAAAUGGCCCAAAGCUUUACAAACACUGAAGUAUUUAGCCUCCCAAUGGGCAUUACUUGCUCACAUUCAAAAGUCGGGUAACUGCAUUUUGCACCAGAUGUCGUCUCUAGCUGCUCCUCAAAUGGACAGCGUCAUGGCAGAUACUACUUCACCUGCGACAAGCGCAAAACAAAAUUGCCAGCAUUCCAGUUGCCAGAAGGUUCAGUGGCCCACAUAAAAUCAGACUAAGGAUUAGAACAGAUAACGCCACAAGCAGCAGAAGGGGUCACAGCCAGGCAACGCCAGCCAGGAUAUUUUGUGAGCUCCUGCAAAACUAUUAAAUUCUCAGGACCUAAAAAGUCACCAAAACAUUCCAGUUGCCAUAACAACCUGUUGUGUUUGGUUCUCUGAUUCUUCUGUGUUGGCCCCAUUCUUUUGGAACUUGAUGGCAGGGGUUAGCUUGCUACAGUAACACGGGGAUCUUUUCAAAGAAUCUCAGUCCACACCUGAUUCUGAGGGGGCCGGACCUUCUCUUCCUUUCUCUUCCAACAGCUCGUUACAGAUGCCAGGAAACAGUGAGGAGAACAAAAGAGCCAUGUGCACUCCAGCAAAAGGAAUUGGAGCCCACUUGGAAAACACAGCCAAUAACCUUGAAAAGUUUGGAUAAUCUGAAUCCAGUUCCUUGAUUUUUAUGAUUACUCAACUUAUUGUUUAUAGGAAAGCCUAACCCUUCUGCACAUGUGUCCAGGGUGUCCAAGGGUCACAGCAGUUUCAGCAAUCAGUCAGACACUGUGGAGCAUCAGAACCUUUCAGUCUGCUUGGGAAAAAGUGCUCAAAGAAAUCCCUUAAGCUAAGGGAGAACUGCAAAACAGGGAGGAAAAACCUGGACCAAAAACUACACUCCUCACUUACAGGAACUGGGAGAAAACACAAGUGUGGAAAUUAAUUUCCCGAAAUAAAGGGAACUUAAUACUAACCAAAACAUCCAGAGACAGAUGAACUUAAUCAAGUGGAAGCAAGAGAAGAACCACCACUGUUCACUAAACCAGCUGCAUUCAUGAGAAGGAAAAUCUGAGGAAGGUGAAGGCUCAUGAACCACCCUCACGAGAAGGUCGGAUGUUGGAGUCUGAUCCAUUUGGAAACCCAAGGCUGGUCUGAGGCUCAAAGAAGCUUCACAUACUGGUUUGCUAUCGUAGAGUUGCUCAGGAGAUCUCGGCUAUUACGAUAGUGGCUGAUCAAGAACUUUGACGGCUGCCUCGUUACAAGAACAAGUUGAAGAAACUAAGCAUCAUUCUUCUGACAGCAUGGGGUACACUUCCAGACCACUGGACACACUUUCUGUCACUGCUAAUAGGACAAAAUCUCCAGUCAACCGGAAAUGGAUGCUAGCAGGCCCUACAGCCAGCUCUCCCAGGUAAGUAAGAUGUUACUGGAAUCGGCAGUAGCUCUCAAAAUUGCAAGCAGUCGUACCAGGGACCCUGAUUUUCAAAACUCCAGACACUAUUUUAUUUGAUGUCUUUAUCCUAUACUUUAAAACAAGAACCUGUGCUGGGCACUGGCACCUUCAACAUAUAUUUGAACUACAAUCGUACUGGUAGAAACAAGAAGAAACUGCAGUAGCUUUCCCCAAAACAAGAAAAUAGCCAACCGAAAACACAAAAAUCCCCACAAUCAUAAAUACCCCCCCACCCCACUCCAGUCCCUAGAUGCCCUCACUGCACUACUCAGCCACAAAAAAGCCAAAGAAAA